UGGUCACGCUGUAAACGAUGUCGAUUUGGAGUUUGGGGGCAUGACCCUUGGGCUCCGGAGCUAACGCGUUAAAUCGACCGCUGGGGAGUACGGCCGCAAGGUUAAAACUCAAAUGAAUUGACGGGGGCCCGCACAAGCGGUGGAGCAUGUGGUUUAAUUCGAUGCAACGCGAAGAACCUUACCUGGUCUUGACAUCCAUAGAAUCUUUCAGAGAUGAGAGAGUGCCUUCGGGAGCUAUGAGACAGGUGCUGCAUGGCUGUCGUCAGCUCGUGUUGUGAAAUGUUGGGUUAAGUCCCGCAACGAGCGCAACCCCUAUCCUUUGUUGCCAGCACGUAAUGGUGGGAACUCAAAGGAGACUGCCGUUGAUAAAGCGGAGGAAGGUGGGGACGACGUCAAGUCAUCAUGGCCCUUACGACCAGGGCUACACACGUGCUACAAUGGCGUAUACAAAGGGAUGCGAAGGUGCGAACUGGAGCGGACCUCACAAAGUACGUCUAAGUCCGGAUUGGAGUCUGCAACUCGACUCCAUGAAGUCGGAAUCGCUAGUAAUCGUGAAUCAGAAUGUCACGGUGAAUACGUUCCCGGGCCUUGUACACACCGCCCGUCACACCAUGGGAGUGGGUUGCACCAGAAGUAGAUAGCUUAACCUUCGGGAGGGCGUUUACCACGGUGUGGUUCAUGACUGGGGUGAAGUCGUAACAAGGUAACCA
rnacentral:rRNA from 1 species